AGCGAACGCUGGCGGCAGGCCUAACACAUGCAAGUCGAACGGACCCUUCGGGGUUAGUGGCGGACGGGUGAGUAACACGUGGGAACGUGCCCUUUGGUUCGGAAUAGCUCCUGGAAACGGGUGGUAAUGCCGAAUGUGCCCUUCGGGGGAAAGAUUUAUCGCCAUUGGAGCGGCCCGCGUCUGAUUAGCUAGUUGGUGAGGUAAAGGCUCACCAAGGCGACGAUCAGUAGCUGGUCUGAGAGGAUGAUCAGCCACAUUGGGACUGAGACACGGCCCAAACUCCUACGGGAGGCAGCAGUGGGGAAUCUUGCGCAAUGGGCGAAAGCUUGACGCAGCCAUGCCGCGUGAAUGAUGAAGGUCUUAGGAUUGUAAAAUUCUUUCACCGGGGACGAUAAUGACGGUACCCGGAGAAGAAGCCCCGGCUAACUUCGUGCCAGCCGCCGCGGUAAGAC
rnacentral:rRNA from 1 species